GCAAGUCGAACGGCAGCAUGAGAGAACUUGUUCUCUUGAUGGCGAGUGGCGGACGGGUGAGUAACGCGUAGGAAUCUGCCUAGCAGUGGGGGACAACUCCGGGAAACCGGAGCUAAUACCGCAUACGCCCUACGGGGGAAAGGUGCCUCUUCUUGAAAGCUAUCACUGUUAGAUGAGCCUACGUAAGAUUAGCUUGUAGGUGGGGUAAAGGCCUACCAAGGCGACGAUCUUUAGCUGGUCUGAGAGGAUGAUC
rnacentral:rRNA from 1 species